GUGUCCGCUGGUCGGAAUGUCGGCCUGCACUCUUGCGUCCGCCCGCUACGCUGACCGGGUGCGCUGCCGCAACGGCGCGCAAAGCCGACAGCCGUCGCAACCCAGGGAGCCUCUUCCAUG
rfam:Streptomyces sp. NRRL F-6602 F6602contig13.1, whole genome shotgun sequence.